GCUGGAGUGGCGGAACUGGCAGACGCGCGAGACUCAAAAUCUCGUGGUGCUUAGCACCGUGUGGGUUCAAUUCCCUCCUCCAGCACCA
rnacentral:tRNA from 1 species